rnacentral:rRNA from 1 species
ACCAGACUCCUACGGGAGGCAGCAGUGGGGGAUAUUGCACAAUGGGGGGAACCCUGAUGCAGCGACGCCGCGUGGGUGAAGAAGCGCCUCGGCGCGUAAAGCCCUGUCAGCAGGGAAGAAAAUGACGGUACCUGAAGAAGAAGCCCCGGCUAACUACGUGCCAGCAGCCGCGGUAAUACGUAGGGGGCAAGCGUUAUCCGGAUUUACUGGGUGUAAAGGGGGCGCAGACGGCGAUGCAAGCCAGGAGUGAAAGCCCGGGGCCCAACCCCGGGACUGCUCUUGGAACUGCGUGGCUGGAGUGCAGGAGGGGCAGGCGGAAUUCCUGGUGUAGCGGUGAAAUGCGUAGAUAUCAGGAGGAACACCGGUGGCGAAGGCGGCCUGCUGGACUGCAACUGGCGUUGAGGCCCGAAAGCGUGGGGAGCAAACAGGAUUAGAUACCCCGGUAA